UCUCACAGUUGUAGAGGCUGGAAGUCUGAGAUCAAGGUGUCAGCACGGUUGGUUUCUCCCAAGGUCUCUCUCCUUGGACAAAAGAUGGUCGCCUUCUCCUGUGUCCUCCCACGGACUUCCCUCUGUGCAUGUCUGUGUCCUGAUCUCCUCUUCUUGAAAAGACACCUGUCACAUCAGAUGAGGGCCCACACAUCUGCCUUCGCUUUCACUUAAAUACGUCUUUGAAGACCGUAUCUCCAAAUACGGUCACACUCUGAGGAUCAUCAGUUCCACAUGAAGCCAAAAGGUCCACUUUUUUUUUCUUUUUUUCUUUACAUCUCAACUGGCUUCGAAUGCAGACAGACUUCUCCUUUACUUAUUUCCAUCUUAGUUUUUUUACAAACUAGUAUCCGUGAGCGUGCAUUUUAUGCUACGUAACACAAGGGCAUGAUUUGACCGUAGUUUCUUUUUGCCAUGGGGGGUUGGCACAAAGCUUCUCUCUGCAUCAGGUUCUGCUGCACCAGCUCAGCGAGGAGGAGUGUGCAGUGCCCGGGCUCAGGCCGCAGAGCUGGGCUGUUUGGGGCAAGACUCCCGAUCUUGCUGGCAUGCCCUCUCCUCUGCCGUGAAAUGGAAGAAUUGCCCCCGUCAGGGCGCCUAGUGCCUGGAGAACGCUCAACAAUAAACAACUUCGUGCCGAAUACUUGUGGGAAUCAGAGAGAGAGAGAGAGAGAGUGGCCAAAAGCCCCCGCAACGGUACCCGCCAGCCAGAGAGAAGAAUCGAGAAAAGGGGCAGUAGAGAAAGAGCGAUAGAUGGCAGGCUUUAUCAUUUCUGGCGAUGGGCCUUGGUGAUAGGGUUAAGGAAUUGGUGCAGAAGAGCGGAAGUCAAAAAUUAGGGGAACUGCGACCCGUUUUCUGUAGAUAAACCGUAUCUUUAUAUGAAGAAGGUAGAUUACACAGAGCAUCACGCUUUUCCUUUGGUUCCAUUGCGCACCCCGGACGGGCAUCCCGUCCUCAGACCCGGCUCUGCGUCCCCCUAAAUCCCGGGGAGUCGUGCCUCCCUGGCCACCGCAGUAAGAAGCGGUCUGGGGGACACACUCCCCCAGGGUGGCCAGCGGGCACCUUCCCGUGUGCAUGAAAGUUCGCUGAACUCGCCCCCCUCCCCCCACCCCCGGCCUUGUUCUCUUCCCUUCCAUCAGCAGCUCAGAGCUGAGCUGUCCACUAAGCUCUCCUCCACGCCGCCCAAGGGCACUCGUCCCCGGACUCUGAAUUAGACACGGCAGAAAAGAGUCUGAAAGGUCAAAUGCAGAGUAGUUCCUCUUUCGGUAUCAAAAUAAAGCAUUCCUUGCAUUUC